rnacentral:rRNA from 1 species
UACGUAGGGUCCAAGCAUUAUCCGGAAUUACUGGGCGUAAAGAGUACGUAGGUGUCGAGUCAAGUCGGUCGUUAAAUCUCACUGCUUAACAGUGAGGCUGCGAGCGAUACUGACUCGAUUGAGUGUUGCAGGGGCAAGCAGAAUUCUUGGAGUAGGGGUGAAAUCCGUUGAUACCAAGAGGAAUACCAAUGGCGAAGGCAGCUUGCUAGGCAAACACUGACACUGAGGUACGAAAGCGUGGGGAGCAAAGGGG